UGGUGCUGAAGGGGAAGAGAGGCCUCCGCAGACUCAGCACCCCCUGGUGUGUGAGCCCCGGCGCCACUCCCUGACUUGUUUCCCUCCUGGAUUCACCCGUCCUCUCUCACCCCACCUUGCUCCUCGUCCCUAGGCACCCCUCACGUUUUAUGCAGGUCCCGGCGCACGUCUAUGAGAGCCCAGCUGUCCAGAGCAAAGGGCUUGGUGGCAGCUGCAGAGGUGACCCACACGGCACCAGGCAGCGGCCUCCUGAACGGAACUUCCAAAGCACCAGGCUGCCGCCUUCCUCUGCCACCAGCAACAGCCCCAGGCUGGGCACCGGCAGACAGCAGACGGGCUGGUGGCCCGGCACCCUGCCCACCCCUGGCUUGCUCAGCCACAGCAGGCUGAGGUCAGGCCUUAGUAUGGCCAGCCCCUCGGGGCCCCAGCCCACGAAGCGGCCCACAGCACCCAGAGGGCCUGGCACCGCCACCAGCCCCGUGAGCACUGCUGGGGCACACAGCUUCUCGUAAGCCCAGCCGUCUUCUCUGUGCAGGUGCAGGCGGCCCGCACCAUCCAGCACCACGAAGCGUCUGCCCGCUGGGUCCUGCGCCACCGAGCGCAGCCCAGCUGCCACCGUCAGGUGGCGCAGCGGCUCCAGCCCGUGUGUCAAGCGGCCCACGCACAGCUCGGCUCUCUUUUCCUGCGGGCAGGGGCGAGCAGGCCUGCAUUCAGCUAGGGGAGGGGGGGUGCUGGAGGAGAGGUAGUGCCCCUGCCUAGGGGAGCCAAGUGGAUCCGGGCUGGGGGCGUCCUAGGGACAGCGAGGGGAAGAAACGGGCCAGAAAAGAGGCCUCGAGGCAGGUGCCACAGGCAAGCCCCACCUUUUCCACGAAGUCACGGAGGCCUGUACGCAGGAGUAGCCAUAGCUGGCGGGCACGGGCGCGCGGGGUCAUGUUCUGCCACCGCAAGCUGCUGGUAAAAAGCCCUGGGACUGGCUCCGAAAACGACUCUGCGGGUCAGCAGUGGAAACACUGUCGGUGUGUGGUCUUGGGCCCCAAACUCUGGAGGCUGGAGGCCGCCAGGGGCCCUCCCGAGUGCCUCGCCAGGUUAGGGGACUCCCCACGGAGUGUUGUGUCGCGGCAGACAGAACCGGUGCCUGAGUGAGGCCUGUCACGUGGGGAUCUGGGGCGCCGAGGCCAGGCCACCUCACCAUUCUUCUCCUUGAGCAGCCCUGGAUCCGGGACGUCAUAGCUGUCGGCAUCAUACAAGUCGAGAUCCAGGAUCAGGCUGUCACCUUCUACUGAAAAGGGGUUGCUGACAUCUGACACUCCGGUCUCCAUUUUGGCCUCUGCAGGUCCGGGCGGCUCAACAGCCCCAAGGACCGUUGCUAGGAUACCGGAGGCGGUAGCCCCGCCCUUGACGCAGACCCCGCCCCACACGCAGCACGGAGCCCAGGUCCCCACUAAAUCACAGAAAUUUUUUAUUGGAAACAAACCAGCUGCAGCAAAGUGACACUCAGUGCACGCUGCCCAACGGGCAGGGUACGGGGGGAGGGUGGUACAGGUGGGCGUCAGGGGCUGGCCAAGCCCGGCGUGGUGACCACAGGGGCCUGCUUACUGGGUCUCGGGCCCUUUGGGCUGGAGUGUGCAGGCCCAGGCCUGAUCCGGCACGAAAUACAAAAAUAAACUCUGUAGUCCAGCUGUC